CCUACGGGUGGCUGCAGUAGGGAAUAUUGCUCAAUGGGGGAAACCCUGAAGCAGCAACGCCGCGUGGGGGAUGAAGGUUUUAGGAUUGUCAACCCCUUUUGUUAGAGAAGAUAAUGACGGUACCUGACGAAUAAGCACCGGCUAACUCAGUGCCAGCAGCCGCGGUAAUACGGAGGGUGCAAGCGUUAUCCGGAUUCACUGGGCGUAAAGAGGGCGUAGGCGGUGUAAUAAGUCAGAUGUGAAAUCCUGUAGCUUAACUACAGAACUGCAUUUGAAACUGUUAGUCUGGAGUGUGGGAGAGGUAGGCGGAAUUCUUGGUGUAGCGGUGAAAUGCGUAGAUAUCAAGAGGAAUACCGAUUGCGAAGGCGGCCUGCUGGAACAUUACUGACGCUGAUGCACGAAAGCGUGGGGAGCAAACAGGAUUAGAUACCCGAGUAGUC
rnacentral:rRNA from 1 species